rnacentral:rRNA from 1 species
CCUACGGGAGGCAGCAGUAGGGAAUCUUCCACAAUGGGCGAAAGCCUGAUGGAGCCACGCCGCGUGGGUGAAGAAGGUCUUCGGAUCGUAAAACCCUUUUGUUAGAGAAGAAAGUGCGUGCGAGUAACUGUUCACGUUUCGACGGUAUCUAACAAGAAAGCCACGGCUAACUACGUGCCAGCAGCCGCGGUAAUAAGGAGGUGGCAAUCGUUAUCCGGAUUUGUUGGGCGUAAAGGGGACGCAGGCGGUCUUUUAAGUCCGAUGGGAAAGUCUUCGGCUUAACCGGAGGAGUGCAUUGGAAACUGGGAGACUUGAGUGCAGAAGAGGAGAGUGGAACUCCAUGUGUAGCGGUGAAAUGCGUAGAUAUAUGGAAGAACCCCAGUGGCGAAGGUGGCUCGCUGGGCUGUAACUGACGCUGAGGUUCGAAAGCGUGGGUAGCAAACAGGAUUAGAUACCCGAGUAGUC